GUCACCUCUCUGGGUCGAGGUAGCUAUGAGGACGCGUCAGGUCCAGCCCCACGGGAGGCGCCUCCCACAGCUCCCUUCAUGUCUGUCCCUCCCUUCUCGUCAGCUCACCUGGUCAGGGCUUCCCGGGCCUCAGGGUGUCGGAAAUUAGGCCAAGGGGAGUGCUUGUUUCAGUGAAGCGGGAAGGAGGGAAUUGGACGGAGGAACGUGACUGUACCACUCUCUAGGGCAUGGAGAUUCACGUGGCGCCAAGUGUCGGGAAAUGUCUCACUCCUCAGACUGCUGAAAUGCCUUUCUGUGACCUGAAGAUGCUAUCAAAUACAUGGAGUAUUUCACAUUCACACAGAAAAACCUAAAGGAUGCAUUUGACAAAGCACUAGUGACUGCCUCGGAGACGGUGGAACCAAAGAAAAGCCAUAGGUGAGUGUGGCUUCGAACAUACCUCCAGAGCUCUUUCUGCAUUAGUGGUGGUGUCAUCAGAGUAAAAGCAAUGUUUAAAUUAAAUUAAAAUCAAUUUUUGUAGUUGUAGGGGGAACUGCUCCAUGCUAAUUCCCCAGUGACCUCGCACCUUGUUACUCUCAGCGUUACUUGGCAUUCAUUCUGGAGGUGGUAAGAUUAGAAGUCUUUCUGGAAGAAAGACGGAUGGAGUACAUGGGACAGGUUAAGGGCUAUAAUAAGACUGUCUAGGAUCUGGUAGUGCAUACUCUUGCCUAAGUGGUGGACAAGAAGGAGAAGUAAGGUUCUUCCUACUGUCAUACUGGAAAACAGACUGUAUAGGUUGGCUUAAGUGAUCUGAGAAAACUCCUUAGGAUCUGAUAGUGUAUGCUUCUUAUUAGUGAAUAUUUGGAGGCUUACAGAGGUAGGAUUGAAGCCAGUUUCCUGAAUGGUAUCUUAGCUGUUUGUUGAAAUUGACCAGACAGCUUCAUAAAUCUAAAAGUAAGUACAAACCUGUGCUUUCUGUGUGGAGCUGCUCCCGUCAUACCCUCUGACCUGUCCCUCCCUCCCUGUUAACCUUGACCUCUAUAGCUUUAAGAAACUUGCAUCCUGCUACUGCUGACCUCCUCUGCUCUGCCCUGAACUCCCUGAAGAAAUGACCUGGUCUCUGGGCAGCUGUUAUAAUCCCUGAAGUAUCUGUGUUCAACUCCUCAGUCUUUGUUUCUCUGACCAGUGUCUGAAUGGAGUUUAGGCCAAACCAAUGAGUGAAGACUCUGAGCCAAGUUAAUGUUACUAUUGUAACAAUGUAUAAUCUAAAUGAUAUGUUACUUUUUUAUGCUAUGAAUGCUUAUAAAGUGUUAGGGGAAAAGUUUUUUCGAUGUCCAAAGUGUCCCCUGUGUAAAUCGUGUCUGCUGGUUGACAAAUCAAAAGUUUCUGAUUUGAUGUCUUUAUUGCAGUGUCAGCAGAUGCUUGCCAGCAGGUGUGACUAAUAAACAUUGACAAAAUUUAGAGCCUUCUUGGCCAAAAACAACUGGGGGCAAUGAAAAUGAAUUUACCACACUGAAGUCCUCCAGCAGUCAUAGAAAAAAUAAUGCCUUUGCCAAGUAAAGGACUAUGUUUCUUAUAAAGCUACCAUGCCCUCUCGGAUGUGUAACUCCUGUCAAGAGUUGGCCUGCUUAUCUAUGAUAAAAGAGGCCCUGGAAACUUACCUGUAUUAUCUUUUAUUCACUGGAAAGCUAACACACCCAAGUGGUUGUACCUGAUACCCCUGAAUGUAAUGCGGGAACAGAUAGAUGUGUUAUGAACAUACACUUCUCUUGAUUGUUAGGAAUGUUCCCAGUGAGGAGACGCCACAAAUUAAAUAGUGCUAUUGGGAUGACUACAACUAGGAGCCUCCCUGGUUCUUUCAGCGCAGUUAUGUGAAACCAGUAGAGCUGUACAGGCAAUUGGAGGAGAGGGGAUGAACAGGUUAAGGAAGUGGUAGUAAGAGGAUACAUAGAAAACCAUCUGGUAGGCUAUACAGCCUGCCCUCCUGUUGCGACUGGUUAGUUCUAAUGAGCCUUUUGAGCUUCAGGUAUUGGUGCUUGACAGUUACUAGACUCUAUCUGUGCACUAGGCAGAGGUGCCCACUGGGGUUUUGGACACAGCAUUUUCCGAACAUCACUGCCUGGUAUACUCUAUUUGAGGGGCUACUAUCAGCCUGUUAUUGAGUGCUGGUGGACACUGAGAAGCCAACUGAGUAAUAACACGAUAUGUUAUUCUCUUGACAUGCCCAUUCUGGAAUAGGUCAAAAACUAAAAAAUGCCAACAAAGUGGGUAUUGCCCAGCAAGCAUGCAUUAUUAACUGGAAACAGUAUUUCCAGAAAAGCAGCAAGAUUUGGUGUAUUCUUUUCUAUUCUGUAACAAAAUAUCACAAACUUAGUGACUUAAAACAAUCUUGUCUUACAGUUCUGAAUGCUAGAAGUCCAAAAUGGGGUUCAGUAGACUGGAAUAAAGGUGUUAGCAUAGUUGCCCUCCCUCUAGAGGGUCUAAGGAAGAAUCAGGUUCCUUGUGUUUUCCAUUUUCUGGCGGGUUUCCCUAGUCCUUGGCUCAUGACGCCUUCCUCAAUCAUUUCAGCCUCUCCUGCUUCCUCUUCUAGUCACAUCUCCCUCAGGGCUCCUUCUGAAAGGAUACCUGUGAUUAUAUUUAGGCCCAGAUGGAUAAUCUUCAUCUCAGGAUCCCUAACCAAAUCACAUCUGCAAAAUCCCUUUUAUCACAUAAAUUAACAUUCACAAAUCCCAGGGAUUAGGACCUGGAAAUCUCUGGGGGCUGUUAUUCAACCUAUCACACUGGGCAUUAAUGGAAUCUUGUAGGCAGGUAAUUACUGUGAAGAUGUGGCUAUCUUAGAUGUGGGGGCUGUGCUGUCACCUUAGGCUUCUUGGGGGCCUGGGUACACUACAUCACCUAAGGAUGCCUAAGCCUUAUGGACACACCAGCUAAGUUAAAGAUCAGUGGGGUUGUGUAGGAAAGAGUUAACAUAGCAGAUCUGAGCCUGCUUAUCCUUAGGAAGUCCCGCUUACAAGGUUGGCCUUUUGCUGGUGUCUGAGAUAUGAUUGGGGAGGGUUCCCACCAUCCACAGAGCUGAUGAGUGGCUCACUGUACCUAAAAUCUUUGUACAACCAAUGUGGAUCAUGCUGAAUACCUUCUUUCCUCCCGGGACUCUGGAAUUUGGGUAUGUGUUAGGCAGAAGGUGCCUAAUGACCAGUGGCCACCCCCCUUCCCUGCCCAGUAAAGUCCUGGGCUCUAAUAUUCUUGCUACACGUGCCUUUUCUGUCUGCUGACUUUGUUUUGUAUAAUUUCACAGUAAUCUUAGCUGUGAGUACAACUAUAUGCUGAACAUUGUUAUUCGUCCUAAUCAAAUCAUCAAACCUUGGAGGAGAGUUGUCUCAAGGACCCCUAACUCAGUUGAUGUCAGAAAUAGGAUUUGCUAGCCCAACUCUCGGGGAAGGCAAUGGCAUCCCACUCCAGUGAUCUUGCCUGGUAAAUCCCAUGGACGGAGGAGCCUGGUAGGCUGCAGUCCAUGGGGUCACUAGGAGUCGGACGUGACUGAGUGACUUCACUUUCACUUUUCACUUUCAUCCAUUGGAGAAGGAAAUGGCAACCCACUCCAAUGUUCUUGCCUGGAGAAUCCCAGGGACGGGGGAGCCUGGUGGGCUGCCGUCUCUGGGGUCGCACAGAGCUGGACACGACUGAAGCGACUUAGCAGCAACAGCAGCAGCAGCCCAACUCUGAUUCACUGAAGUAUGGCAAAAACUAUUUGAGAAAAGUAAAGGUGAAAGAGUGAGGGGUAAUACAGCUUUAGUAUUAGGCUGGCUCUUGAGUCAUGCAUGGGAUGAAACAGCAGUAUUUUUUGAGAGGUAGAAGUUACCUACGGAAUUUGAAAAUGAUAGAUUCAACUCUAGGAGAGUUGGCUUGCUAAAGCUCCUGGCUAUUUUGGGUUGUGCUGGCUAAAGUGAGGGCAGAAAGUGCAGCCUGUAUUAAAAAGUGUGAAAGUGCAGCAGUGGGGAAAGGUGAUGCCUUUUUGUAUUUUGUUCUUCCCUUCAUGUGGGAGGAGAAAGGGCCCCCAAAUCCCCAAAGGUGAGUUUGGAUGACCCAGAAAUAUUACAAAUUCAUAUGCCUCUUUUUUCCAAGUAGAAGGAACAAAUGUUAGCUCAGUUCCCAUGGCUAGAGCAAAGUGAACCAGAGAGGGAAAAGGGACAAAACCACUCCGGCUGUUUCUUCAGCCUAGUUACCAUCACUGUUACACUAGUCCUGUCCUUCCUCUCCUGUCCAAUUCUAGCUGAGAGUCCUCCUUGGUAGUGCAGAUGUUAACCCUGUAAAUGUUAAGUUUACUGGUAGAGGGUUGAGUAAAUUUCUGUUUAAAGGUGAGUGGGGGCAUUUAAAUCGCUUUAUAUUUUGUGGCUAUUACAUCUGGAUGUAGGAUAAAAAUAGAUGGAAAAAGUUAUAUGUUUACAUGCUUGGGGCUUCCCAGGUGCCGCUAGGGAUAAAGAACCCCCCUGCCUAUGGAGGAGACUUAAGAGAUGUGGGUUUGACCCUGGCUCGGGAAGAUCCCCUGGAGAAGGAAAUAGCAACUAACUCCAGAAAAUUCCAUGGUCAGAGGAGACUAACCCAGUCCAUAGGGUCACAGAGUCGGACAUGACUGAAGCAACUUAGCACACAUACAUUUUUUUUUUCAGCAUUUUUCCAACAGAUAGUCUUGUUUUAUUUAAGUAAGUUAGAAAGUGGGGACAUAUGAAUUUAAUACCUAAUUACUGGUGCCAAGUCACAUGCAUGUUUUUAUAUGCUUGUAAUUUCACAAAUGCUAGAUGGAUCAUCCCAGUCAGGGAAAGCUGCAAAGAAAAAGUGUUAGUGGGACACACAAAUAAAUAAUUGCCUUUUGCCACUGGUAGGUGGAUUGAAUUUUUUUUCCCUUUGAGUAUUGAAAAUAAAAUAAGUCUCUGUUACUAAUGGUAUUUAUUAUACAUUUUGCUUACUGUAACUUCUGGAAAAAAAGGAAACAACAUGAAAAGAGAGGCACUCUUCAGAUUGAAAUACACUUUUGGAGUUUUACAAAGUGGAUUUGAGUAGCUAAUGAGUGUUUGUAAAAUCAGAUGUCUGACCCAUUAAGGCUGAUGUACCACCAGCCUGAUGGGCAUAUUUGGAUGGGUCUUUUUGGACUCCAAGGCUGACAAGAUAGAAAGGGUGUCAGAAGUCUCACUUGUCAGUUGGACUUGGAACAGGCUGUCUGGCCUUGAGGUAUCUGGGCUUUGAAUAUGUGCUAAAGAAAAGCUGCUGGCUUUUUUGGAAUCCUGAUGCUUAACUGCCUACGCCUAACUCUAAGCUGAAACCUGGUCUGGGCUAUUUCACCCUCAAUAACUGUGACAGGAAGAAGGCUAUGGCACCCCACUCCAGUACUCUUGCCUGAAAAAUCCCAGGGAUGGAGGAGCCUGGUGGGCUGCGGUCCAUGGGGUCGCUAAGAGUUGGAUAUGACUGAGUGACUUCACUUUCACUUUUCACUUUCAUGCAUUGGGGAAGGAAAUGGCAACCCACUCCAGUGUUCUUGCCUGGAGAAUCCCGGGGAUGGGGGAGCCUGAUGGGCUUCCGUCUAUGGGGUCGGGUCGCACAGAGUCGGACAGGACUGAAGCGACUUAGCAGCAGCAGCAGCUGCAGCAGCAGCAACUGUGACAAACUAAAAGCUGACAAAGUUCUACUCAGAAAAGAAAACUCAGAUCUGGAAUAGUUACACAUUUAGGACACUUCUCUGUAGACUAAAUUGUGGAAACAUCAUGGAUGCUUGCUAGACCAUUUCUGUCCACAGAAAAGGGCUUAUUUCUGAUGGGGCCAUCUGAAAUUGAGCUGCUGAUCAGCUCUCUAUUUCUGAUACAGAGAUUCAAUGCAUUCUUAACAUGAUUCCUGCAAAAGCUACAAGCUGGGGAAGGGUACAUCAUAGGGAAUGUGACACCUCCACCCACUACUAAAGGUCAGACUGUGGACCCCAUUUCAGGCUGUCUCACUGCUGUUGACUUGUGUUCAGCUUUCUAAAUUAGUUGCAGUUUGCAAUGGCAGUCUGAUAGCCUGACUCUGCUUCCCUCACCUUUUUCCUGGUAAGGAGAAAGGCAGUUUGAUUAUUUAAAGCAGCUGUCCCCAGAAAGGGAUUGACAUUUCCUAGACUGCUCCCUGGAUAAAUGAUUAGGACAAAAGAAGUGUGAAAGUCACUCAGUUGUGUCCAGCUCUUUGCGAACUCAUGGGCUAAACAGUCCAUGGAAUUUUCCAGGCCAGAAUACUGGAGUGGGUAGCCUUUCCCUUCUCCAGGGGAUCUUCCCAACCCAGGGAUCAAACCCAGGUCUCCUGCAUUGCAGGUGGAUUCUUUACCCGCUGAGCCAUAAAGGAAGCCCAGGAAUACUGGAGUGGGUAACCUAUCCCUUCUCCAGCGGAUCUUCCUGACUCAGGAAUCCAACCAGGGUCUCAUGCAUCGCAGGCAGAUUCUUUACCAACUGAACCACCAGGGAAGCCCAUUAUAAUUAUUUUUUAAAAAUUCGGGGUUUCAAGUCUGACCAAUUUGGAAUAUGUUGUGCCUUUCUGGUUAAGUGAUACAAAAAUGUUUUCUGUGAAAAUGCUUCUAUAUUUCUUGCAUACAACUGUUCCAGACAAAUGGUCUAGCUGAGAGUAGGGGAGAAUUGAAAAAAUGUUGUUACUCUUGCUGAAUAGGGCACAAUUGAUUUUGUAAUGAUGGAGGGAAAAGUAAAAGCCCAGGCCCUGGGAACAGGGGAGAAGGGUAUUAAUGAUCUUUGCUUUUCAGAGCUGUUCCUGGAAGUCUUACCCUCUUCUUAAAGGAAUAAUUAUGUGCUUUUUCAAAUAUGAACUCUGAAUUAAACUGGUUGCUGAGCCUAGGCACUGAACAUGAGAUGACCCCAUGGGGUGACCCCAUUGGGGUCACAGGGGGUCACAGGGGGUGACCCCAAUGCCAGCACUUUCCUGCAGAACACCUGUAGAUGUUGUCCACACUUGUGAAGCUGUUGAACUGAUAUUAUAGACAAGCAAAACUGGAACUGACUGCCUCAGGCUGUCCCUCUGAAACCAAGGACUGAACUGCAUCAUUUGAACUGGAUUGAGAACCCAGAGUGGGAGGUCUUACAGUACAAAGCCACGUGGGGGCCCUGAUAACCUGUGCUGCCUAACUAAUGUAUGUCUUGUUCGCAUGCCCCAAUGUUUGUGAACUCCUUGUUUCUCUGGUUACUACGUGCGAUCUCUGGGGUUGUGCUUGUCUGUGUGUCCUAUCACACUCCCUCAGCUCUGGAAGGAUUUCAGGUCAGCUUCAACUUACUAGCUGUGCCUGUAUUGCUGCCUUGCACUAGGCAAAAAAAAAAAAAAAAAAAAAAAGGUCAAUUAGAAACUUAAGGAUGAAGUCAUCUGGCUUUUUUAUGUAGGUCUGUGUGGCUAACGGGACCUGUUUUAACUGGCUAAGUAAAGGUCCCCUAAGGGCGUAACUGAGAUCAGUAUGGCAGAUUGCCCUCACCCUGUUGCAGGAGGUCCUACUGAUAAUUUUACUAUAAAGAUGCCUUGGCCAAGGGCCAAGGACUGGCAUAUCCUUGGAAAGUCCUACUUAUGAGGAUAUGUUUUGGGGAGAGUUCCCACCAUUCACAGAACUGAUAAGAGUGGCUCAUUGUACUUAAACUGUUUGUAAACCAGUGUGGUUUAUGCUGAAUACCUGCUUUCCUCCUGGGAGUCUGGAAUUUUGGUAUGUGUUGGGCAGAAUGUGCCUACAUGACCAGCUCCCAGUAACAGCCUUGGACACCAUCUCUAACAAGCUUCCUCAGUAGACAAUAUUCCACCUAUACUGGCACAACCUGUCGAGGGGAAAUUAAGUGUGUCCUGUGUGACUGUACUGGAAGAGGACUCUUGGAAGCUUGUGUCCGGUUUUCUCUACGCUUUGCACCAUGCACUUUUUCCAUUUACUGACUUAGUUUUAUAUCCUUUCACUGUAGUAAAUCUUAGCUGUGAGAACAACUAUGUGCUGAAUGUUGUUUUCAGUCUGCCUAGUGAAUCACUGAACCCUGGGUGUGGUCUUGGGGCCCCUUACACAGGAGUGUAAUGGAAUGGCACAGCUGUAUGGCUCUAAAGAAAGGUGUGUAAAACUAUGCAUGGAAAAGGGAACUCUGCCCAUUGGGCAUAAUUGUAAGGAGGGAUCUAAAAAUGCCUCCCCAGAUGUGCCUUAUUAUAUUUUCAUUGACUUAUGGCAUUGGGCUAUGGGCUAGCAGUGUAGUCUGGUACCUGGCAACAGGAAAACUGGAUAAUCAAGUCUCAGCUCGGAGAGGCCAAACAUGGCAUAAGAUUGCAGAAGACUCAUGCCCUCUGUUUGUGAGCCAUAUAAAUGCCUGUGGAAAAGGACUUUUGGAGGAUGAGCAUCAAUGGAAACAAGCUGAUUUGACCUGAGCUUCCCAGGUAAGGACCAGGGCCACCCAAAUGCACUAUUGUGCAGGGGAUAGCAAUUCAUCUACAAGUCAGAACUGGGCCUAAAAAUAAGCUCCAGUGAUUCCAGCAUCUGAGACCAAGGAAGCCUGGCAUACAUACCCAAACUGCUACCAAUACAGUCAAGUAGCAAAGGGAACUUGGGACACAGUCUGGGGCACUGGACCAGGCUGGUCUUGGCAAAUAGACUGUGUAAUUAACUCAUUCACUCUUUUCCUUCCAUGUCUUCCCUCUGGGACUGUGGGCUACUGGAGUAUCAAAGUGAGUAUCAAAGAUAAGCCAGGAGGUGGGAGAGUUUAACUUGAUGUUCUUUUGCUGCCCAGCUAAGCUUGCUAGAUUUGGGCCAUUACAGAUAAUGAUGAUAAUGAUCAGGGAUCUGGGAUGACAACUCUUUAGUGCUCCUAGUGUUGUCCGUUUAUCAGAGGACCGUAGAUUUUCUAGGUGGUAGAAGUUGUAUAAGGAAGACUCUACUGAGCCACCUUGGAACAAGUCUGGGUGUGUGGUGUGAGUAAGACAGGGGGAGGACUGGUAAAAGGGUGACAUGAUUUCUGCAGGGACUGAUACCAAGCACAGGACAACCUUAACUGCUGGGGAGGGAUGGAACUGGGGAAGGUCUAUUCAUCUCCCUCAGCUCCGGUCUGCAGAGCAGCAUCUGGCCAAUUUUUAGUGCAGACUGACACCUCCAACUUGACCAUUGACCAAAAGGGAAUCUUAAUCUAAGAACUCUCAGAUAACUUCCCAGCAGCUGCUGACUCCAGAAGUUAACAGCUAACACUCCAGACAAUAGAACAAGAUCAAAUUUCUGGAACCCAAUCCAAUUUCCUUUUACCUAUUCACAGAGUAGAGCAACUGCUUUAAGUUUAUCUCUGUUGCCUAGGACAGAUUAAAAGGAUUUGUAUAAUUAGGAUAUCUGAUUGGGUGGCCUCUGUUUCUGAAGAGAGUUCUUGACUGGUGAUGUGAAAGGUAGGAGGUGAAGUUGCAGGGAAACUGCUCUGUGCAGAUGUACUUGCAAACAUCCAUAUAGGCCUCAUGGAUAAGACUUAACCUCAGGAGAUCUAAGUCUUGCUAAAAUGCCCCAUACUCCUCUCAGAAUGUGAGAGAAUGGGAGGCUUGGAAGCAGCUGCUACAAGGCCAUUUUUCACCCUCUUUAUUAUCCCUCCUGGAGGCUGUUACAAGACAUUUUCUUAUUGCCUUCCAGGUUCAGGUAAGAUGUAAGGGCUUCUGCCUUGAAAUGCCCCUCUUCCCCACACUUGAGGGUACAGCUCCAUGGUAUAAAAUUGCUUAGCAUGAAAUACUCAAAACUGCUUAGUAUAAAACUGGAUACUCAGAACCAGAGCUUCACCCAUGUUGAAUUGUUAUUGAACCUCUUGCUUUAGUGUGGUCUGGGGGGACAGAGGACACAGGGAGCUGGCACCUUUGUGGAUCUUGCUGUUGCUGCUGGCUAUGGAAAUAAUGAAUUGUCUGACCUAAACAGGACUGUUUACCAGCUGAAUGUCUCAGCCUUGCAUGGCAGCAAGGACAAAGUCUCUGCACCCACCCUUGGUCCAUACAUGUGGAUUCCUGCCCUUCUCCACCCAAUUCAGUUUAAAUAUUAGUUAAACUUGAAUAACUAUGUUAGAAAAGUGAUCAGAACUAGUUUUUUUUAAUCAUUACAAAAUUUUUGUGUUUGGAAGUAAGUUGUGCUCAUGAUGAUUCUGUAACAGACAUUAAUUCUAGGCUUGAACUGUUGAGUCCAGAACCACUGGUUCCUGUCUGGAGAGUAAUCUGCUACAUCUUAGUGUUUUAUUUUUCAUUUCUGGCAGUGUGUGAAAUUUUUGUUGUUUUUUUUAAUAUGGUUUUUUGGUUACUAUUUUUUUAAAUUCAUUAAAAAGUAAACAGCUUUUGGGGGGAUGGGGAGGACAGACUGAUUCCACAUUCUAUUUCCUAGGUCUAGUCUAGAAAACAUUGUCCCCACCUGGUGCUCUAUAGGAAUUUCAAAUGCUUCAUUUAAUAACAUACAUUUCUUUUAAAAAUUUGCCUUUUCUCUUCCACCCCCAAAUAG
ensembl:lncRNA